rnacentral:tRNA from 1 species
GAAGCAGUAGUUUAAUGGAAAAACAAACCCUGCUAAGGUAGAUUGCGGGUUCGAGUCCUGCCUGUUUCC